rnacentral:ncRNA from 1 species
AAUAAGUUUGACUCUUGCUUUGUUUUUUGUUGUUAGGUUUAUGAAAUAUAUGCAAAUUUUGGUGUGAAGAGAAAGUCUGUGAGAUUUAAAAUUUACGAGACUUAGAAUGGAGAAAAAAGAUUUUAUAAUAGCUUAAAUGGCAGUAUAAGGUUUUUGACGAAGUUUAGCGAAAGUUAGAGCAAGUAAAACAAUAAGGUCUGGUUAAACUCUGUGCCAGCAGCCGCGGUUAUACUAAUAGGCCAAGUAAAAAGGGUUUAGCGGGUAGUUAGUCAGAAACAAUAGUCCUAUAAUAAUUUACUAUAUCGAAAGGUGAAAUUUAUUAGAUAACUUACGUAAAUAAAUGUAGAAAUUUGUUAAAGUGAUGAGGCUAUCAAAAUAUAGGGAAAAACCAGGAUUAGAUACCCUGUUAUUCUAUAUUUAAAAGUUUAGUGGAGAAAGCUAGAGUAGUAAGAAUUAAUGGGUUUAAAAUUCAAAGAGUUUGGCGGUAUUUUAGUCCAGUUAGAGGAACCUGUUUUAUAAACGAUAAUCCUCGUAGAAUCUUUCUUGCUUUUAUAUAGUUAGUAUACCUUCAUUAUUAGAUGAUUUUUGAUAUAAAUUAUUGUAAUUGACCUAAAUCAAAGAUAUUAGAUCACGGUGCUGCUGAUAAGCAAGUAUAAAUGGGUUACAAUAAAAUUGAGUUAGACGGAUCUAUUAAAGAAAAUAAUAGUAAAGGUGGAUUUAAUUGUAAUGCGGGUUUAAUAAGCCUGUUUGAUAAAGGCUCUAAAAUGUGUACAUAUUGCCCGUCGCUUUCAUUAUUUAGGUGAGAUAAGUCGUAACAUAGUAGGUGUACUGGAAAGUGCACCUAGAAGAAU